UACGAAGGGGGCUAGCGUUACUCGGAAUUACUGGGCGUAAAGCGUGCGUAGGUGGUGAGUUAAGUCAGUGGUGAAAUCCCGCAGCUCAACUGUGGAAUGGCCAUUGAUACUGAUAGACUUGAAUUAUUGGGAAGUAACUAGAAUAUGUAGUGUAGCGGUGAAAUGCUUAGAUAUUACAUGGAAUACCAAUUGCGAAGGCAGGUUACUACCAAUAUAUUGACGCUGAUGGACGAAAGCGUGGGGAGCGAACAGG
rnacentral:rRNA from 1 species